rnacentral:tRNA from 1 species
GCCUGGGUGGCUCAGUUGGUUGGGCAUCUGACUCUUUAUUUCAGCCCUGGAUCAUGAUCUCACACUUCAUGGGUUCUAGCCCCAUGUCAGGCU